GAUGAACGCUGGCGGCGUGCCUAAUACAUGCAAGUCGAGCGAACGGACGAGAAGCUUGCUUCUCUGAUGUUAGCGGCGGACGGGUGAGUAACACGUGGAUAACCUACCUAUAAGACUGGGAUAACUUCGGGAAACCGGAGCUAAUACCGGAUAAUAUUUUGAACCGCAUGGUUCAAAAGUGAAAGACGGUCUUGCUGUCACUUAUAGAUGGAUCCGCGCUGCAUUAGCCAGUUGGUAAGGUAACGGCUUACCAAGGCAACGAUGCAUAGCCGACCUGAGAGGGUGAUCGGCCACACUGGAACUGAGACACGGUCCAGACUCCUACGGGAGGCAGCAGUAGGGAAUCUUCUGCAAUGGGCGAAAGCCUGACGGAGCAACGCCGCGUGAGUGAUGAAGGUCUUCGGAUCGUAAAACUCUGUUAUUAGGGAAGAACAUAUGUGUAAGUAACUGUGCACAUCUUGACGGUACCUAAUCAGAAAGCCACGGCUAACUACGUG
rnacentral:rRNA from 1 species